rnacentral:tRNA from 1 species
CUCUUGGUAGCUUAAGAAAAAAGCAGCGGGCUUUUAACCCGUGGUUACAUUGUUUGUUCAGGGGG